AGAGUUUGAUCCUGGCUUAGGAUGAACGCUAGCUACAGGCUUAACACAUGCAAGUCGAGGGGCAGCAUUGAGAUAGCUUGCUAUUCAGAUGGCGACCGGCGCACGGGUGAGUAACGCGUAUCCAACCUUCCCCUUAGUAGGGGAUAGCCCGGUGAAAAUCGGAUUAAUACCCUAUGUUGUUCGAAGCAGACAUCUAAAUUGAACCAAAGGUUUACCGCUAAGGGAUGGGGAUGCGUCUGAUUAGGUAGUAGGCGGGGUAACGGCCCACCUAGCCGACGAUCAGUAGGGGUUCUGAGAGGAAGGUCCCCCACAUUGGAACUGAGACACGGUCCAAACUCCUACGGGAGGCAGCAGUGAGGAAUAUUGGUCAAUGGGCGCGAGCCUGAACCAGCCAAGUAGCGUGCAGGACGACGGCCCUAUGGGUUGUAAACUGCUUUUAUACAGGGAUAAAGUCACCUACGUGUAGGUGUUUGUAGGUACUGUAUGAAUAAGGACCGGCUAAUUCCGUGCCAGCCGCUGC
rnacentral:rRNA from 1 species